rnacentral:tRNA from 1 species
GGCUUCGUAGCUCAGGUGGUACAGUGUUUGCCGCGUUGAGGCAUGGUGUGUCUGUCGCUGGUUCGAAUCCAGUCGAAGCCC